GCCGUAGGUGAACCUGCGGAGGGAUCAUUACCGAGUUUACAACUCCCAAACCCCAUGUGAACAUACCUGUUUCGUUCCCUCGGCGGUGUCCGGCAACGGCCCGCCAGAGGACCCAACAAACUCUUUUGAAUUUUUCAGUAUCUUCUGAGUAAAAAAAACAAUAAAUCAAAACUUUCAACAACGGAUCUCUUGGUUCUGGCAUCGAUGAAGAACGCAGCGAAAUGCGAUAAGUAAUGUGAAUUGCAGAAUUCAGUGAAUCAUCGAAUCUUUGAACGCACAUUGCGCCCGCCAGUAUUCUGGCGGGCAUGCCUGUUCGAGCGUCAUUUCAACCCUCAAGCACCUUCGGGAGCUUGGUGUUGGGGAUCGGCAGGGCGUCCUCCGGGUCGCGCCGUCCCCCAAAUCUAGUGGCGGUCUCGCUGUAGCUUCCUCUGCGUAGUAAUACACCUCGCUCUGGAGUCUCGGUGCGGCCACGCCGUAAAACCCCCAACUUUUUUCUGGUUGACCUCGAAUCAGGUAGGACUACCCGCUGAACUUAAGCAUAUCAAUAAGCGGAGGC
rnacentral:rRNA from 1 species